rnacentral:rRNA from 1 species
GAUGAACGCUGGCGGCGUGCCUAAUACAUGCAAGUCGAGCGAACGGACGAGAAGCUUGCUUCUCUGAUGUUAGCGGCGGACGGGUGAGUAACACGUGGAUAACCUUCCUAUAAGACUGGGAUAACUUCGGGAAACCGGAGCUAAUACCGGAUAAUAUUUUGAACCGCAUGGUUCAAAAGUGAAAGACGGUCUUGCUGUUACUUUUAGAUGGUUACGCGCUGCAUUAGCUAGUUGGUAAGGUAACGGCUUACCAAGGCAACGAUGCAUAGCCGACCUGAGAGGGUGAUCGGCCACACUGGAACUGAGACACGGUCCAGACUCCUACGGGAGGCAGCAGUAGGGAAUCUUCCGCAAUGGGCGAAAGCCUGACGGAGCAACGCCGCGUGAGUGAUGAAGGUCUUCGGAUCGUAAAACUCUGUUAUUAGGGAAGAACAUAUGUGUAAGUAACUGUGCACAUCUUGACGGUACCUAAUCAGAAAGCCACGGCUAACUACGUG